GAAUUUACCCACUGGCUCUAAGCUUUAAGUCUUGCCUAGAACGUGGAUUUUAAGCCCAGGAUUUGGGGAUUUAACUUCUGAGCUUUGGGCUUAGAGUUCUGACUUUGAGGCUGGAUAAUUGGAGGAAUUUGUCUCCAUCCUUCUCCUCCACACGAAGAAGGAGUUGGAAUUGUAUUUUUUUUUCUCUGUGGAGAGAGGGCAGUUUCUCCAGGGGAUGUGUUUCCUUUUCCUCCUUCUGUUCCCCAGGUGCGUGUGAACCCCCCUUUUCCCCCCAGCACCAGCACCACAUCACAUUCAGGCAAACCAGGACCCCAGAGCCCUGGCCCCUGGGGACUCUCCUGCAGAAACACCACCUCGUCCUUGGCGAGUGCCAGUCUGAGGCCCAUUCUGGAGUCCCUGUGAGCUCUGGCCUUCGGUCCUUUAAUCCAGAUCUCUUUCGGGUGGGUUUGUAUCUCAUCGUGUCUUCUUGGUCUGCACAUAAGAAGUGUGUUUCUGUCUACGAUUCGGUCUGUGCAGUUUCUCAGUCUCUCUCAAGUCUCUGUUUCUUUGAGUGAGUCUCUGUCCAGGCAUGUGUGUAUUUGCUGUGAUUUGUCUGGCCCAUGAUUGGAGAGGUUUAAAACAAAUGAAAGUAAAAUUCCCAAAGCUGAUUUUCAUUCGUAUGAUCUUUAAAAAGAAGGGUAAUAUACAUUCCGACGUCCUGUGUCCUUCCAGCCACUUCCAGAUAGGGCUGCCGAGGCUGCUCCAGCAGAGGAAGGCACCUGGUCAUCACAGGACAGGGGCGGAGUGCUCAGCUGUGGUCUAGUCCACGCAGACCCAAGGCUGUGGCAGUCCCCGCGUCACAGACCAGGAGAGACAAUGACCCUCUGGAAUAUCAGCCCUGAGGGCAAAGAGAGAACUGAGAGGGCCUUUCCUCCCAGUUCAGCAGAUGCUGGAAUUCUCGCCACAUCAUUCCCAUCAAAGGUUACACAGUUGUUGCUGUCGUUGCUUGAAUGUCUUCCCAGACCAGAAACUUAUUAUCUCCUAGUGAAGCUUUGACUCUUAGAAAAAUCUCCCUUCCCUGAGCCCUAGACUGCCCUGUCAUCUCCACCUGUCACCCACUACCUCUUACACCCAUCCCCAAGCAUCUUUCCUGCAGCCUCCUCUUCUCAAAACGAAGCAGCACUAGCUCCUUCAUGCUCUCUAUAGGACUUAGUUCCCCUUAACUUUGUGCGCGUCCAAUGGUUUAACUCCGAUCCAGAGUAUAGAACCCAGAGCAGAAGGUACUUUAGCGAUGGCCCUGAGCGUUUUGUUCAUACAUUUAGUCAUUCGUGACUCUUUGAGCAUGUCUUUUUAUUAGAAUCAUAAAGCGGUAGGGAGGCGAGAAUGAACCAGGCACAAGUGGAACCUUAAAAGAGCCCAAACGUACGACAGGGAAAACAGAUACAAAAGGACUUCUCAUAAAAUAACAACUAGGUAUAAAAUAUUAUAAAGUCACAGAUGAGAAAUGCUAUUAUUUCCACUUACAGAGUAACAGGAAAAUCUGUGGAUAAAACAGAAAUGCUGAGUGUGAGCGACAGAGAAGGAGAAAGACAAUGCAAGCAAGAAAAAAAUAAAGCAUAUACUAGGAAACGUCCAUUUUAGAACAUAUUAUCUUUUCACUAAAAUACUCCUGCUAACAAAGCCUGAAACCCAUCAAUUUGUUGUAAGCUGAUAUUACACUAUCUACUCAUAUUAGACUAUUCACCCCAAGAGGAGAACUUACAGGGAGGGAAUUAAGGGUCUGUUUCUUUGAGUGGCUGAAGAAACUGAGGAGAGCUAAUCUAAAGAAGAGAAGAUUAUAGGAUAUUAUGAUGGGAACUUUCAAAUACUAUUUAUCCAUUCAAUUAUUUAUUUUUUCUGGUUAAAGUAUUUAUUCAGAUCUGCUAUGUGCUUGACCCUGUGAAGGAUUAUUAUCUAGAGGUAAAAAAUGAAAGAAAAGUGAGCAGCCAAUACCAUCCCUACUGUGAUGGAGUUUACAGUCAAGUAGGGAAAACAGGGAAUUGAACACACAGUUUCAUAAAUAGAUACAUUACAAAUUAAGGUGUAUUUUGCAGGAAAAUCACAGAUACCAUUUAGAACAAUAUUUAGGUGAAGCCUGACAAAGACUGCCAUGUCUAUAGCAUUUUUAUAUAAUGUGGAGGGAGGAGAUUUAAGCCCUGUGUAAGAAAGCACUUCAUAAACAAAUGUCAUCUAAAAGAUAGUGGCUUUAGGCGUAACGAGCUCCCCAUCCUUGGGAGUGUUCAAGCUGAGUGUGGGUGACAGUUUGAUAAGGAUGCUGUAGAGGGAAUUCUUGCCGUGGGUGCAAGGCUGACUCUGGUUGCAGGUCCUAGUGAGCCUAUCAAGCCGACAACUGAGUCAGUGAGUGGAUUUUUGGGAGGGGCCACUUUAGCAGGCCACUUAACUCCUAGUCUCUUCCAUCUGACCCCCAGUCUGCACAGGAGAGGGGAAAGAAUAUCUGUCUGUCUGCCACUCUUGCUUCUCUCUGCUGGUGACAGUAAAGGUGACUAAUGUCCCAGCAUCACCUUCUUCUUCCUUUGGUGGCUGCAGCUGCUGAAGGCGGGCUGCUGGGUUUCACAGCAAAGACCACAGGACUUCAAGUUGAAAGAACCCCAUUCUCGUGCCAACCCAGACACUUACUGGUUAAAGGACAGUCACUUAACAACGUUGCUAUGGGACCGAAACGAGGCAGCUUGGUCGUGAGACAGUUGCCCCUCUGGUUAUCAUUAGAGCACCCAACGGUUCAGUUAAUUUUCCUGGUCCUGUGCUCUCCUGGGUCCUUGAGCUGCCUGUUCUCCAUCCUGCAUGUUCCUCCUCCAUGACAUGGGUCAGGGCUAGUGUUUCUAAGCCUUCCCUGUUACUUUCUGGGAAAAAUGAGGUUUUACCAGCGACUGGCCGUCUCAGGUGAGGCAAGACCAAGACCCACAGGUGAGACAAUCAGACAAAGACUCAGAAUGCUCCUGUUGGGCCCUUCUCUCCCUCCAGGGAUGUGAGAGGCAGUAGCAGCCCAAAUCUAGGCUACAUCUGUAGUACCACCUUGGAGUAAUUAAGCAAAGCCAACUUCAUUUAGAGCAGCUCUGGGAUGCUGAAGAACACUCCAGAUGAUGAAGCACGAGGGAAUGUUUAAGUUGCAGCACAGGAGAAAAGUAGGAACAGUAUGUAAAAACAAAACCAGAAAGAGUUGGGGAGCUCUUGCAAGUUACUGUGUUGUCUAGAGUGACUGGAAUGUCACAAAACACGUCUGGAGUGGUUCUCAACCUGAGGGUCCCCUCUAGAGCCUUAAAGCAAACUGAUCAUGAGAAGCCACAUCCAUCCACCAGGGGUGUCAUGUGGGCACUUGGAUUUUUAAGUUCUCCAGGUGAUAAGAAUAUAGAGCCAAGACUGAGCCCCGCCGAGGGACACGAUUGACAAGAGGCAAAAGCAAGGACAUUUCACCUGUCAGGAAGGCUGUUCAUCUUGGGGGAAGCACAGACACAGAAGGCACAAAAUUUCACCAGGGCUGGCGCAUGAAGGGAGGAUGUGAGGGUGAAGAGAGUAGGAGAACGCAGGCUCUGGAGCCACCUCACUCUGACAUCGUGCGUCUCCGCGGUCUUAGCUCUCCGUCUUCCCUUGGCUCUGUGUUCCCCUAACUGUCCAGCCAUCCCAGGGGAACAUUCCCACGAAACUCCUUAGCUAUGCAGACCACUCAACAGUGGGUAACCACAGAAUAAAGAUUUGAUAAAGAAGCUGAAUCCUACAUCCAUGCUACUUGAGUGAAUGAAUGAACUCAUGGUUGGAGGUGAUUCAAAUUUCAUACCAAUUGUGACUGCAUUUUCCUACUUCAUUUUUUUUUUAAAAAGGUAUUUUACCAAUUUAAUUUAUUAUAUUGCAUUACAUGCUGUUAUUAUUAUGUUACAUUACAUCACAUAUUACAUAUUGUGUUAUGUUAUGUUAGGCUAUUUUCACUUUCUGAUUGUGGUUUAACGAUUUCUUUCUGAUCUGCAGGCACCAAUGGAGUAUUAUGUCUCUGUCUUUUAUCUCUCCAUGGAUUCUAGAUCAAAUCUUCUCUUUUGAAACCACUACACAUAACUUUUCCGAACUGCUUUUUUAAACUCUUUUUUGGUCCACACCCACAGCAUGUGGAAGUUCCUGGGCCACUGAUUGAACCUGAGCCAUAGCAGUGACCCCAGCUGCAGCAAGGGCAGUGCUGGAUCCUUAACCCUCUGUGCCACAGAGGGACUCCUGAACAGUUUUUUGUAUUGUUUUUAUUUUUUCUUUUUUUCUUUUUUUUGUUUUCCUUAGGGCUGCACCUGCAGCAUAUGGAGGUUCCCAGGCUAGGGGUUGAGUCAGAGUUGCAGCUGCUGGCCUAAACAGCAAUGUCACAUCUGAGACACGUCUGUGACCUACUCCACAGCUCAAUGGCAAUGCCAGAUCCUUAACCCGCUGAGCGAGGCCAGGGAUCAAACCCGCAUCCUCACGGUACUAGUCAGGUUCAUUACUGCUGAGCCAUAAUAGGAACUCCCCUGAACUUUUUUAACUUCAGAGUCAUUUGCGUUUCAGUGCAGUUUUCAUCUGGAAUGCCCAGGUCCUUCACCACCCUAUUCAUAUUUCUCUCUUUCCAGCUUUCUAAAACCACUCUCUUACUUUCCUUCCAAAUGUCUCUUUCCCUAAAGUGGAGUGGGGACACAUGGGGAUCACCCCUUUCUCUGAGGCCCUUGUCUCCUCAGACCCACACUGGCAGAGUUAAAACUCAGUUCUUAUGACUGCAUCCUAGACCAGACUGGGGUUUACUCAUAGUGAAAUGGAAACAUCACUACCAAAAAAAAAAAAAAAA
rnacentral:lncRNA from 1 species